ensembl:lncRNA
GGUAAUCUCUCUGAGUGAUGGUGACAUUGUUAUUACUUACAACAUGUUUUAAUAACUUCCAGAUAAUUCCAGUGAAGUAGCUGUGUCAGUCAGUCCUUCUGGUGAGGUUGUUAGUGGCAGGACAGUGUUGUUAUCCUGCUGCUGUACCACCCGACUCCCAGUAGAGAGCUACACCUGGUAUAGGACUGGACGCUCCAAGGCUGUUCACAAGGGACAGAUAUGGACCAUUGUCAAUAUCAGCACAACAGAGAGUGGAAACUACUAUUGUGAGGCUCUAACCACGGAUGGGUCAUUUAACUCCUCUACAAUGUAUAUUAAUGUCCAAUAUGCUCCAAGAAACACAUCUGUGUCAGUCUAUCCUCUUGGAGAGGUAGUGUUGGGCAGCUCUGUGACUCUGUCAUGCAACAGUGAUGCCCACCCCCUAGUGGAGAGCUACACCUGGCUUCACAGGACAGAAUUCCAAACAUCAUUGAGAGGGUCAGGAAGGAGUUACAGCAUUGCUAGCAUUCGUCCUGAGGACAGUGGACAGUACUGCUGUGUGGUGGUAAAUAAGCAUGGAUCACACAGUGGUAAUGUAACAAUCACUGUGGUAAAUGCAAAUGGCAAGACUUCUUCUCUGUGGAGGAGGUUGGUGACAGUCGGGAUCCCUGUUGCUCUCACACUGAUCUUCAUAAUAACACUGGCUUGCAUAAGGAUGAAACGUGCAUCGAGUCAUCAAGCAUUGAGUCUCUCAGAGACCACCAUUUCACUGCCUUUAUCAUAAUGAUACAUCAAGGACGACCAUAACAUGCAUAUGGAUGAGACAGCUGCAUUGGCUACAAUUGAUGGAAACUGAAUGAACGGUGGGGAAGUGCCUAGUUUCCAGCCACACAGUUGCACAAAAGUCUCAAUUCAACUCUUUCAAUCCCAUUUUCAAUCCCAAUCCUGUUUCCAUUGAUCAUCCUUGAGAUGUUUCUACAACUUGACUGGAGUCCAUCUGUGUCAUAUUUAACUGAUUGGUCAUGGUAUGGGAAGGCACUCAUCUGUCCAUACAGUGCUAUUACAAGAACCUUACAGGGAUGGUUAUUAAAAUAUUAAAAUAAACCCGUAAAAAACAAGGGCAAAUAAAAAUGUGUAAUAAAGAUAUUCAAAUUAUAUGUUUUCAUUGUUUAUUUUUUUUUUAACAAAAAUGUAAUAAUUAAUGUGUGCAAAUCCAUGUAAACCCCCUAUUCUUUAGUUUGUGCAACCUCCAUUUGUGGCAAUUACUUGGAGUUUAUGUCUACCACAGCCACUAAUCAGUCUCUGACAUCUUUUUUUGAGGGACAUUUUGCACAGUCAGUUUGCACAGUCAGUUUGCACAGUCAUUUUGCACAGAAGUCACCCGAUUGAGUGAGAUUUGUGGGGUGUACUACCUGCUUCAGGUCCUACCACAGCAUCUCGAUUGAAUUUAGAUCAGGACUUUGACUUGUCAAAUGUUAUUUCUCCUGAGCCCUUUGGGAGAUUUGCUUGAAUUCUUUUGGUCGAUGUCUUGUUGGAAGAACAGUUUUUGGCCCAGCUUUACCUCCUUGACUGAUUUCCUGACAUUCGAUUCUCUCAUAGUGAACAAUGAACUCACAGUUCUCUUGAUGAUGUUCAGUCAACCAUGUCUGAAUGUUGAGAAGGUGCUUUAGGUGGUCGGCAUUGUUGGGUUUUUGCCAAACAUAGCGGUUUUGAUUGUGACAAAAAGGUCAAAUUUGGACUCAUCUUUCCAGAGAAUGGACUUCCAGAAAGCUUCAGGUUUUUCCAGUUCCAGUCUGUGGCAAAGUUAAGACAGCAGUUUGCUUCUUUUUUGACAGCAGAGACUACAUCCUACCAACCCUCCCAUGAAUGCCAUUUCACUUCAGUGUUGUUCUUAUGGUUACAACAUGCAGAGUAACCUGAGAUGGUUUGUUGUUAUGUUUGGUUUGACAAUUACCUGAUGAAUUAUUUGUCUUGUAGCUUUUGGGGAUAUUUUGGACAUCCACAUGAAAGGAUAAAGGGCAUCCACAUCUGGGCCAAGUUGCUGUGAUGCUCUCCAUUUGUAAAUGUUUUGUAAAGUAUUUUUGUAUAGCCUUCCCCGGACUCACUACCCUCUUCCUGGUGUCCUCUGAGAACUCCUUUCAUUUGCAUGGUGUGUUUUGCCUUCACCUGAAUGUGUAACACCAAAAUGACCAAAGUGCCCCACCCCAACCUAAGACUAAAAUCCUUAAUUUGAUCAGUUCAGUUUGUACCCAAUUAUGAACCCACCUGAUUUUACUUACCUAAUUAAUUCCUUUUUAUUUUGUUUUACUAUACAUAUGAUUUCCUUUAAACCAACAUAUGGAGUUGAUAACAAUAAACCUGUUAUGUCAC